rnacentral:lncRNA from 1 species
AUGGACGGAUGGGUGCACGGGGUGAUGGGAAGAUGUAGGGAUGCUUGCGGUCCGGGCCGCUCGAUUUGCACCUCCUAUGCACGAGGGGGCGCGAACAGCCCGCGCGCGGGUGCAGCUCCGCAGACGCGGCUCUCGGCCGCAGCCCGCGCUGCAGGUGCCUUUCGGCCGGCGCUGGGUGGGUGGAGGGUGUCCCUGCGGCUGCGGCGGCCCUUCGCGUUGGUCCCGAGCCGACUCGAGCCGGGCCGCAGCGUCUCCUCCUGUCCCCGCCGCGACGGUCCCGGUGCCCCGGAUGAGCCCACUGUGUGCAGAAGUGUCAUGGUUGUUGUAUCAGGAACAUUCUAGACCCCAGUGUCCUUGAGUUUGGAGAAAGAUGAGAUCACAUUGGAACCCAAACACCUGUUGUGACCACCUGCCCUGUGGCGUCGUCCUUACUCUAGGAGGGCUGCCUUGGAUCUGGAGAUUGUUGGAGGAAUUCUGAGGGGAUGGAGGCACUGGUGCUCUCGGAUUGACCUUGGUCCCAGCUGUCCUGGAGGGACCUCAUCAUG